rnacentral:lncRNA from 1 species
UAACUGUAUAACUUCGCGACGCGUACUUUUUCUUAUUCUAUCGAACACGGAGUAAAAGCUUUCUAUUAUGCCCCGAGAGUGUAAAUUUGGAACGAAUCGAUGUCAACGUUCACAAGAACCAAAACCGGAACUACAUUAGACUACUAAGUUGCGCCAUAACAGUAUAAUUUUGCGACGAGUACUUUUUCUCGUUCUAUUGAAUCAAGUGUAAAUCACAUUCCCACAGAAACUCCACCCGCGGAAAUCACAUGCCCUAAGAAGGCGACCUCGCGAAGCCAAAAGUCACACUUCUUUAGCUUAGCAUAUAGCUUCUCCUCCCGAAGGACUUGAAGCACUAUUCUCAAAUGCUCGGCAUGUUCCUCGUCACUACGAGAAUAGACCAAUAUGUCGUCUAUGAAGACCACGACAAAUCGAUCCAAAUACUUCUUGAAGACACGGUUCAUCAAAUCCAUAAACGCCGCUGGAGCAUUCGUGAGUCCAAAUGGCAUAACCGUGAAUUCGUAGUGUCCAUACCGCGUACGAAAUGCAGUUUUCUGCACAUCCUCCGGCUUGAUCUUCAGUUGGUGAUAGCCGGAUUGCAAAUCUAUCUUCGAGUACACACACGACCCCUGCAACUGAUCGAACAAGUCAUCGAUUCGGGGUAGCGGGUACCUGUUCUUGAUCGUGACUCUGUUCAACUUUCGAUAAUCCACGCAGAGUCGAAACGAUCCAUCCUUCUUCCGCACAAACAACACCGGGGCUCCCCACGGUGAUACACUUGGCCGGAUAAAUUGCUUGUCGAGGAGGUCUUGCAGCUGACUCCUCAACUCUUUCAAUUCCGCCGGCGCCAUUCGGUACGCGGAGCCUUUGAAAUCGGUGCGGUACCUGGAACCAAGUCUAUGACGAACUCGAUCUCCCGAUCGGGUGGUAUCCCCGGCAACUCCGUGGGAAAUACAUCCGGGAACUCACGCACCACCGAUAGCUCUUCUAACGUUGGAGCUACCCUUUCCACUUCCACAACGGUCGCUAGGAAUGCCGUGCAACCGCUGUUGACUAACUUCCUUGCUCUCGUCGCCGACACCGUCGCGACGAAGCACGAGCUUUGACAAGCCCGAUAAGUGAACUCCUCUUGUCCUGGCUCACGGAAUGUGAUCACCCUGCUCUUGCAGUCGAUCGUUGCGUGAUACUUCGAGAGCCAGUCCAUGCCCAGAAUAAUAUCAUAAGCCUCAAGCUUCUGGAGUUCCAGUGUCCGAAUAGGCAUAAUUCAGUCGCCUAUUUUAACGGGACAUGACGCACACUCCGAGUAAGUGUUAAACGCCGACCCAGGGCCCUCCACUCGCCACUUGUCACUCGCCUCUAUAUGUAUGCCAUGCAUGUGUGCGAAUGAUCUACUUAUGAAUGAAUGUGUGGCUCCUGUAUCAAAUAAAGCCCUGGAGCGAACUCCGUUAAUCAAAACCAUACCUGCCACAAGGCGAUGCUCCUCUGCCUCCGCAGGUUCCUCAGCUUGGACCUGAGCGGCGAACACCCAUCCGCUCGGGGCCGAUCGCGUCACUUCAGGUUGACGCGGCAUCAUCGCGCGUCCAGUCGACGCGGCCGUCAGUGGAGCUCCUCCAUAGUGAGCCGGAAUCGCCGGUGUUGAUGCAAUCGAGGGGGCAGGUGAGGCUCCUCCUCCUGGGCAAUCUCGAAUGAAGUGCCACGGCUGCCCACACUUGUAGCACUUGCCUCGGUCUUGCUCACAGCGCGAGACCGGAUGGUCUCCGCCGCAUAUCAUGCAUCGCCGCACUCCACCGCCCUUCUGUUGAGUGCGCGCAUACUUCGGGGGUUUCUUGUAACGUGUCUGUCCCCCUGAACUACCGCCACCUUGGCAUUUCUUGCCCUUGUCCUUAGACUCGGCCAACGCUUCACGUUUCUCCCGCACGUAGGCAUCUCCGUGCUCUGCCCAUAGGGCUCGAUCAAAGACCUCCGCAAAGGUCGUAAGCUUAAGUAUCUGCACGGCCUUGUAGAUCCCUGACCGAAGUCCUCGCAAGAACCACUCGGCCCGGUCCCGGUCAUCCUUUACAACAUCCGGGACACAAUAGAUAAUAUGGGAGAAUUCUUGUUCAUACUACGCCACUGAACGGUCCCCUUGCUCUAGCUUGCGAAAUUUCUCCUUGAGCUUCCGCUUCAAUGUGUCGGGGAAGUAGUUGGCGAACAUCUCCCGCUUAAAUUCUUCCCACAGCAUCGGCGGAAGGCUGGGAAGCCGAUCCCGUUUGACGUGCUUCCACCAAACCUUCGCCGCCUUCUCCAAGCAGUGGGUGGCGAGAUACACCUUGUCCCUCUCCAAGGUACGCAAAUGUCGAAGAGGGUUUCCAUCGAGUCGAUCCAAGACUCGACCAUCUCCGGUUCCACCUUCUCGCCCUCGAAGGUUGGCGGAUGGAACUUGUUGAACUUAAUAAGAGCCGCCAACGCGCGUUCUCCCUCUACGUCUUCGGUCGACACAUCGGGUGUAGCCGACCCGAUGCCGCCUGUGGUGCGAUUGCUGGCGGUGGGCGGGCCGUCACCGGAACCGCCGCUAUGCCCUCACCCUCUGCGGCUCAAGGUAUGUGAGUCGAGGGUGCGGGCGGACCACCGCCUUCAUUUGCCGUCGCAGCCGCUGCCGCGAUCUGCCGCUCCAAUAGACCCUGGAGCCGCUCGAAUCUAGUCUCCUGGCGCUGCACCACAUUGGUCAGCGCGGUCACUUGCGCUUGCAACCGAUCGAUCACGCUCGGUUCCUCCUGCUCAGGCACCUUAGGAGUCGGUGCUGGGGCAGUUCUACGUGUGUAGCGUCUUGGAGACAUUAGUCCCUGAAACGCAAAUACUCGGUCAGUCAUCUUAACCCAUUAUCUCGUCGCAAUUACGACACAUGACGAUUCAACCACAAAAUCGGGCGGAAGCACACAAGUGCACUCGUUCUAGGCUCUUGGUAUCAUGUCGUCGGCCGUCGACAUAACCACCUCAAGACAGGAACUCAUACGACUUGAAUCCGUCUCUAAUCACAACUAGAGACAUAUUACCAACUUCGACCCAAUCGAAUCAACUUCCGCCGUCGCUAUAGGUUCACGUUCCGCUCACGCACCUAUAACUUUAGGGCUUACCAACCUAGGGUCUCCUAGGUCAUCCUAGACUCUCUUUACUUGCUCUUAUUGCUCUGAUACCAAAACAGCUGUCACGCCCUACCCCGAAACCACUACCAAUUUGGCACGGUUCGGCCGCGGCGACGGGCCGCCGAACGAACAGCACCUCCCCUGUCCGCCCAAUGCUCCACAACAGGAAUGUGUACAAGAAUUUACCCAGGAAAUUAAAUUCUAAACAUACACAUUCACAGGGGCACAAACAGUGCCAACAAUAUAAAGAGCAAGCAAUCCACAAGAUAAACAAGUGAAAUAAAGAGAGUACUUGCUAACUAUUACGAUAGUUCCGUCAUUCUCAUUUACAUCAUUAUCUUUAAAUGAUUACAUUUUUCAUCCAAAAUACAUAGCUCUCCAAUCCUCACCUACAAUGAUCUCUCUCAAUACAUAGGUGACUAAUGCAAAAAGGAAAGCUACUAUACUACCACGGUCUCACUGGUCGGGCGCGAUGCCCUUGCCGCGGUCCUCUCUCGGCAAUCCUGUACCUACCACUGGAAAUAGAGUGGGGUGAGAACUAUCUUCCAUAGUUCCCAGUGGGCUCGGCCGCCGACUCUGCCGAUCUACCCACUAGGUCCAAGUGGGCACAAGUAACAACAGAUAGAUAGAUAGAUAGAUAUGUAUCUGAAAGCUGUAAAUGCAAUAGUAGGAAAACUAUGCUACUAUGCCCAUAAUCAUGAAUAUGAAUGCAUGCAUCAUAUAAUAAAGGUUUGCUAUCAUACUAACAAAUUCGAUCCAUGUUCGAAUAGCAAUGUUCAAUGACAUUAAUAAACCUUUAACCUUUCCAUUUACCCAAUCUGUGACGAGGCCCUAGGGCUCGCCCAUGACUCACCUUUCAAUCCCAAAGUGGGGAGGGAGCUCCAAGUGCACCCAAGCCCGGGACCAUCUGCGGACCUCCAUGUGGUUCGGACCUCCAAGUGGUCCUAGUCACGCGACACUCCGGAGUACUCGACGACCAUCCCCUCCAUGUGGGGAUUGGAUGACUAUACCAUCCCAAACGCAGACUGUGAGCUAGAUCUAUCCUCUCCAAGUGAGGAUGCCCUACAUCUAGGGUCAAUACCCAAUCUAAUCCUCUCCAAGUGAGGAAGCACUAUACCUGGGGUCCACAACCCAAUCAAAUCCUCUCCAAGUGAGGAAGCCCUACCACUAGGGUCAAUAUCUCUCGCGGGAUCAUUUGUUCCUAACAUUCAUGCAAUGCUAUUUAGCGUUUCUAAAUUCAUUGUUCACAAGGCGUUUUCUAAGGGAUCCACCUAUCCCUAGGUCCAUCGACCUCUAGUGUCAUUUGCACUACAUUAAUGCCACUCGUCAUCAUUCAAUGUUUGGAUGCCACUCGUAUGUUCUUUAACAUUAACAAUACUUUCUAUGUCAUCAACACCCCCAUCGGGUUCAUCUCUAUCUUUAGCAUCAUAGGAUCCACGUUCCGACCCAAUCCUCACCUAUCUAGUUACCAAGCGUUCCAAGUACACUAGGUUAUCAUUUAGAAAGCAUAAGGAAUGGUACUACUAUGCAAUCCUACAUUGCAACAUGAAGAGAUGAGAUUAAAAUGCAAUCUAAGACAUAGAAAGGAGUCCGAAAGCUUCGGGAUGGCACCCCCCACCUUUAAUCGAUGUAGAGGCUUGGGAAAUCCUUCUUGGCGAACUUUACGAAAAGGCUUUAGCCUUCCUCGCCCGAAUCAACACUAGCCCGGCCCGAUUUUGCCGAGAACUUCACGUCAGUUCGCCGAAUGCUAAAACCGACUUCGCCCCCGCGUUUUGUGACCUAUCAAUAGGGUUUCCGAGGCUUCAAAUGAGAUCAAUCUCAUACUUUUACAAAAAACCCCAUUUUGGAGCCCUAGGUUUGCACCUAUAGCAAACCACCAAUAAAUCCCUAGAUUUCUUGGGAUUGAUCUAUUUAGAAGCUAGCUUAGGAUUCAUUUGACCCAUUCCAAAGCAUAAAAACCCAAAAACCCUAACUAUACAAAGCUAGGGUUUGUAGCUUACCUCUUGAGCUACACCAAUAGAGAAGAGAGAGAGAGGAAGAUGCUCCAAGCCUUCCUUAUCUUGUUCUCCUUCUUCUUCUUCUUCUUCUCCUCCUUCUUCUUCUUCUCUUUCUUCUUCUCAUUCUCUUUUCCUUUCUUUUCUAGAGAGAGAGAGAGCAAGAGAGAAAGAGAGGGAGAAAAUGAGAGUGUGAGGGAGAGAGAGGGCUCAGCCCACUCAAAUAAAAGCCAUUUUGCAUAAAAGCCCCUCAACUUUCACUCCGGUGCACUGCCCUUACUGGGCAGUUUUCGCGCGGAGGGACCGGUCUCCCCGACUUGGGACCGGUCCUCGAGAGCUUCCCUCGGGCGCAUGCGUUCGGGAGCCGGUCUCUCCCCGGGAGACCGGUCCUCGGGAGACCGGUCCUCACCUGAGAGACCGGUCCCCGAAAGCUAAAUCUUCAGGACUUAGCCAAUUUUUGGCAUUUCUCGCUGGGGCAACGUUCGAGAACCAGUCCCUCCCUACCAGGGACCGGUUGCAUCAUGCAACCCCGCAACACCCAGCCAAGAGAACCGGUCUCUCACCUGCAGAGACCGGUCCCCGAGAGCAACAUCAGCCCAACGAUGCAGUUUGCCUCAUUUGCUCUCGCGGACUCAACUCCAAAGCACCUUUUUGUGUUUUGGACAUUCCAACUCCCACAAAGGGUACACUCUCGACAGUCAGUCGAUCCUGGAUGAAGUACAAUCCUCGGAUUUCGAGAAUUCACUUUCUUACAUCCUCCCCUCCUUAAAAGGAGUUUCGUCCUCGAAACGAACCAAUUCUCUAACUUUUAACUUAAAUCCAUACCUUACUCCUCAAAUAAAUGAGGAUGGUGCUUUCUCAUUAGAUCCUCGAAUUCCCAGGUGGCUUCGCGAUCCUCGUGAUUGCUCCACCUGACCUUCACAUAGGGGAUUUCUCGACUUCUCAACUUUCGCACCUCUCGGGCGAUAAUCCCUACCGGAAACUCUUCAUAGCUCAAGUCUCCUUGAAGUUCCGGCGGUUCAUAUAGCAUCGCAUGCUCAGGGUCGUGAAUGUACUCGCUCCAAUAUCUCAUAUGGCCCAAUGUAUCGGGGACUUAGCUUUCCCCGUACUCCGUACCGCUUCACACCCCGCAUUGGUGAAACCUUCAAGAACACGCGGUCACCCACCGCGAAUUCUAUAUCUCGACGGCGCCUAUCUGCAUAGCUUUACUGUCUCGACUGCGCCGUGAGCAAUCUCUUGCGAGCAAGACGGACUUUCUCUUCCGCUUCUCGCAAUACAUCUGGGCCGAACUCAGCACGCUCACCUACAUCGCUCCAGUGUAUAGAAAACCGACACGUCCGCCCAUAGAGAGCCUCGAACGGUGCCAUCUCCACACUAGCAUGAUAACUAUUGUUGUAGGCGAACUCGGCCAUAGGUAGGUGGUCACACCAACUUCCCUUAUAGUCGAUGACACACACUCGCAACAUGUCCUCCAGAGUUUGAAUAGUUCUCUCUGUUUGCCCAUCGGUUUGAGGAUGAAAUGCGGUGCUAAAAUCAAGCCGUGUGCCAACGGCAUCCUGCAGGCUCUUCCAGAAAUGUGAAAUGAACCGGGAGUCACGAUCCGACACGAUCGAUUUCGGCACCCCAUACAGUCUCACUAUCUCGUCAAGGUACACCUGCGCUAACUUGUCUCCCGACCACGUGGUGCGGAUCGGCAAGAAGUGAGCCGACUUUGUCAAUCGGUCCACCAUAACCCAAAUUGCAUCGUGGCCGCCCGUCGAGCGAGGCAAGCCGACCACGAAGUCCAUCGAUAUAUCCUCCCAUUUCCAAACGGGGAUUGGUAGGCUUUGAAGCUUUCCCGCUGGAAAUCGACACUCGGCCUUUACUUGUUGGCAUGUUAAGCAUUUUGCCACAAAGCGUCCAAUGUCGCUCUUCAUUCCCGGCCACCAAUAAUGCAUUUUUAGUCCCUGGUACAUCUUGGUGCCGCCCGGGUGAUCAGCAUAUGGAGAUCGGUGUGCUUCUUGCAGAAUCAAUUCACGAAGCUCUCCAUCUUUCGGCACACACCAUCGGUCUCGAAACCGAAGCGCACCAUCUACGUCUACCUUGAAAUCGCCGCCACGCCCUUCCUAUCGAACAAGGAGUAAAAGCUUUUUAUUAUGCCCCAAGAGUGUAAAUUUGCAACGAAACGAUGUCAACGUUCACAAGAACCAAAACCGGAACAACGUUAGACUACUCAGUUGAGUCCUAACAGUAUAACUUUGCAACUAGUAUUUUUUCUCAUGCAAUCGAAUAAAGAGUAAAACCUAAUUAUAUAGUUCUAUUAUGCCCCGAGAGUGUAAAUUUGGAACGAAUCGAUGUCAACGUUCACAAGAACCAAAACUGAAACAACAUUAGACUACUCUGUUGCGCCAUAACAGUAUAACUUUGCAACGAGUACUUUUUCUCAUUCUAUCGAACAAGGAGUAAAAU